rnacentral:rRNA from 1 species
UACGUAGGUGGCAAGCGUUGUCCGGAAUUAUUGGGCGUAAAGCGCGCGCAGGCGGUCCUUUAAGUCUGAUGUGAAAGCCCACGGCUUAACCGUGGAGGGUCAUUGGAAACUGGGGGACUUGAGUGCAGAAGAGGAAAGCGGAAUUCCACGUGUAGCGGUGAAAUGCGUAGAGAUGUGGAGGAACACCAGUGGCGAAGGCGGCUUUCUGGUCUGUAACUGACGCUGAGGCGCGAAAGCGUGGGGAGCAAACAGG